UACGUAGGUGGCGAGCGUUGUCCGGAUUUAUUGGGCGUAAAGCGCGCGCAGGCGGUCUUUUAAGUAUGAUGUGAAAUCUCGUGGCUCAACCACGAACGGUCAUUGGAAACUGGGAGACUUGAGUACAGAAGAGGAGAGUGGAAUUCCACGUGUAGCGGUGAAAUGCGUAGAGAUGUGGAGGAACACCAGUGGCGAAGGCGACUCUCUGGUCUGUAACUGACGCUGAGGCGCGAAAGCGUGGGGAGCGAACAGG
rnacentral:rRNA from 1 species